CAGGAUGAACGCUAGCUACAGGCUUAACACAUGCAAGUCGAGGGGUAACAGGGUAGCAAUACCGCUGACGACCGGCGCACGGGUGAGUAACACGUAUCCAACCUUCCCAUAACUCAGGGAUAGCCUUUCGAAAGAAAGAUUAAUACCUGAUAGUACUUUUUCAAGGCAUCUUGAGAAGUUAAAGAUUUAUGGUUAUGGAUGGGGAUGCGUUCCAUUAGAUAGUUGGUGAGGUAACGGCUCACCAAGUCUUCGAUGGAUAGGGGUUCUGAGAGGAAGGUCCCCCACAUUGGUACUGAGACACAGACCAAACUCCUACGGGAGGCAGCAGUGAGGAAUAUUGGUCAAUGGGCGAGAGCCUGAACCAGCCAAGUAGCGUGAAGGAAUGAAGGCCCUAUGGAUUGUAAACUUCUUUUAUAGUAGAAUAAAGUGAUCCACGUGUGGAUUUUUGUAUGUAUACUAUGAAUAAGGAUCGGCUAACUCCGUGCCAGCCGCGGC
rnacentral:rRNA from 1 species